rnacentral:rRNA from 1 species
CCUGAUGGCCAUAGCGAGUUGGAACCACCCCUUCCCAUCCCGAACAGGACCGUGAAACGACUUUGCGCCGAUGAUAGUGAGCUUUCGCUCGUGAAAGUAGGGCACCGUCAGGC